rnacentral:rRNA from 1 species
CGUAGGGUGCGAGCGUUAAUCGGAAUUACUGGGCGUAAAGCGUGCGCAGGCGGUUUGUUAAGAUAGGCGUGAAAUCCCCGGGCUCAACCUGGGAACUGCGCUUAUGACUGGCAAGCUAGAGUACGGCAGAGGGGGUGGAAUUCCACGUGUAGCAGUGAAAUGCGUAGAGAUGUGGAGGAACACCAAUGGCGAAGGCAGCCCCCUGGGUCGAUACUGACGCUCAUGCACGAAAGCGUGGGUAGCAAACAGGAUUAGAUACCCUGGUAGUCCACGCCCUAAACGAUGUCAACUAGGUGUUGGAUGGGUAAAACCAUUUAGUACCGGAGCUAACGCGUGAAGAUGACCGCCUGGGGAGUACGGCCGCAAGGUUA